UGAGGCCGACUGUCCUUGAUGUCUCGAGU
rnacentral:piRNA from 1 species